rnacentral:rRNA from 1 species
ACAUUCCUACAACAUAACAUUAAUUCAACGGAUCCCAUUAGAACUCUGCAAUUAAGUGUGCUCAUGCUAAAGUAGUACUAGGAUGGGUGAUCUCUUAGGAAGUCCUAGUGUUUUGCAUGCC